CUAAGGUUUCUUAAAGUGUUCAUCUUCAAGCUCAAGCUCCAAGCAUACUACGCAUCAUCCUCUACUCCACCUCCAUUGAUCUUGUUGGUUCGAGUGACGGCCGGCGUUAGUACGACUCUGAGCGUUACGUCAUCGACCCCUGAGACAGGUCUGGCUUGGCGCGAGGAUGGGUGAAAGCUGUUGGAAUUGUCAGUUGGCUGUGUCUUUCCUAUGUCUCAUAUUUAUCUUUAUAAGCUUUGACUCUAUAAGAAUUUGAACUCCCUGCUAUAUGUCUUCACACAUAUAGUAACGCAUCUCGCUGCAUAACUCUGAUGAAACUCUUUAUUUAAUUUGCUUAUGUCUGUAAUAUCCCUUAAGGGAAAUACUUCUCAGACC